rnacentral:rRNA from 1 species
UUCAGCAGGGACGAAGCGAAAGUGACGGUACCUGCAGAAGAAAGGACCGGGCCAACUACGUGCCAGCAGCCGCGGUAAUACGUAGGGUCCGAGCGUUGUCCGGGAAUUAUUGGGCGUAAAGGGCUCGUAGGCGGUUUGUCACGUCGGGAGUGAAAACUCAGGGCUUAACCCUGAGCGUGCUUCCGAUACGGGCUGACUAGAGGGAUGCAGGGGAGAACGGAAUUCCUGGUGUAGCGGUGGAAUGCGCAGAUAUCAGGAGGAACACCGGUGGCGAAGGCGGUUCUCUGGGCAUUUCCUGACGCUGAGGAGCGAAAGCAUGGGGAGCGAACAGGAUUAGAUACCCUGGUAGUCCAUGCCGUAAACGUUGGGCGCUAGGUGUGGGGACCUUCCACGGUUUCCGUGCCGCAGCUAACGCAUUAAGCGCCCCGCCUGGGGAGUACGGCCGCAAGGCUAAAACUCAAAGGAAUUGACGGGGGCCCGCACAAGCGGCGGAGCAUGCUGAUUAAUUCGAUGCAACGCGAAGAACCUUACCUGGGUUUGACAUAUGCCGGAAAGCGCCAGAGAUGGUGCCCCUUUUUGUCGGUAUACAGGUGGUGCAUGGCUGUCGUCAGCUCGUGUCGUGAGAUGUUGGGUUAAGUCCCGCAACGAGCGCAACCCUCGUCCUAUGUUGCCAGCACGUUAUGGUGGGGACUCAUAGGAGACUGCCGGGGUCAACUCGGAGGAAGGUGGGGAUGACGUCAAGUCAUCAUGCCCCUUAUGUCCAGGGCUUCAAGCAUGCUACAAUGGCCGGUACAAUGGGCUGCGAUACCGCGAGGUGGAGCGAAUCCCAAAAAGCCGGUCUCAGUUCGGAUUGGGGUCUGCAACUCGACCCCAUGAAGUCGGAGUCGCUAGUAAUCGCAGAUCAGCAACG